rnacentral:rRNA from 1 species
AUUGAACGCUGGUGGCAUGCUUAACACAUGCAAGUCGAACGGAAACGAUACUAGCUUGCUAGUAGGCGUCGAGUGGCGGACGGGUGAGUAACGCGUAGGAAUCUGCCCAUCUGUGGGGGAUACCAGUUGGAAGCGACUGUUAAUACCGCAUAAUAUCUACGGAUUAAAGGUGGCCUUUGUGCUGCCGCAGAUGGAUGAGCCUGCGUUAGAUUAGCUUGUUGGUGGGGUAAAGGCCUACCAAGGCUACGAUCUAUAGCUGAUUUGAGAGGAUGAUCAGCCACAUUGGGACUGAGACACGGCCCAA